rnacentral:rRNA from 1 species
AUUGAACGCUGGCGGCAGGCCUAACACAUGCAAGUCGAACGAGUGGCGGACGGGUGAGUAAUGUAUCGGAACGUGCCCAGUGGGGGGGGAUAACUACUGGAAAGGGUGGCUAAUACCGCAUACUUUAGGAGAGGCCGAUGUGGGAUUAGCUAGUUGGUGGGGUAACGGCUCACCAAGGCAACGAUCCCUAGCUGGUCUGAGAGGAUGACCAGCCACACUGGAACUGAGACACGGUCCAGACUCCUAAGGGAGGCAGCAGUGGGGAAUAUUGGACAAUGGGCGAAAGCCUGAUGCAGCCAUGCCGCGUGUAUGAAGAAGGCCUUCGGGUUGUAAAGUACUUUCAGCGGGGAGGCGUUACCCGCAGAAGAAGCACCGGCUAACUACGUGCCAGCAGCCGCGGUAAUUC